AUGGCCAUCGUGCUUGUUGCCGCUAUGCCGGCAGUGAGCUCGAUAGACAUCACAGAUAGGGACCUGGGGUCAGAGGAGUCCAUGUGGGCACUAUAUGAGCGUUGGUGUGAGCAUCUCAAUGUGGAUUGUGACCACGGUGACAAGGCUCGGCGAUUUAACGUGUUCAAAGAAAAUGCUCGCAUGAUCCACGAAUUCAACCAAGGUGAUGCACCCUACAAGCUGAGCCUAAACCUCUUCGGUGACAUGACCGAUGAAGAGGUUGACCACGUGUACGGUCACUGCUCUAACCUCACGUCAGAUGGUGGGAACCGGCACCAAGGCAAGUUCACACAUGGCGUUGUUGUUGCGCGCGACGACCUCCCAAUGUAUGUGGACUGGCGCAUGAUGGGUUAUGAUCAACGCCCAUCAGCGGUGACAAGCGUGAAGCGGAAAAUUGGCUGUCGGGCCUGUUGGGCCUUUGCAGCAACGGCGGCCGUGGAGGGCAUCAACUCUAUUAGGACCAGGAAGCUGAUUCCAUUGUCCGCGCAACAACUUGUAGACUGCGACAAGAAAAAUUUCGGCUGUCGUGGCGGCAACGCACAAUUGGCCUUCAAGUACAUAAAAGAAAACGGAGGCAUCACCAGUGAUGCUAACUAUCCGUAUGUUGCCUUUGAGCAGGGUCGUUGCUUGGUGCCAAAAAAGAACCCCAUCAUCACCAUCGACGGCUUCAAACGGGUGCCGCCAAAUGAUGAGCUGGCCUUGAUGCAGGCGGUGGCAUCCCAACCGGUCGUUGUGGUAGUUGACCCGAAUGGCUUCCGGCGAUACGGGGGAGGCGUAUUUGUGGGGCCGUGUGGGACGAAUCUGACCCAUGAAAUGAUAGUGGUGGGCUAUGGCACCACCGAUGAGCAUGACCUCAAGAGACGUGUAGACUACUGGAUCAUAAAGAACUCAUGGGGGGCAAAAUGGGGUGAAGACGGCUACAUCCGCAUGGCACGCGGCGUGAGCGGUCUCACCGAGGGAUUAUGUGGCAUCCUGAUGGAAGCGUCAUACCCAGUGAAAAAUUAA
rnacentral:rRNA from 1 species